UACGUAGGUGGCAAGCGUUGUCCGGAUUUAUUGGGUUUAAAGGGUGCGUAGGCGGUUCUAUAAGUCAGUGGUGAAAUACGGCAGCUUAACUGUCGAGGUGCCAUUGAUACUGUAGGACUAGAGUACUGUUGAGGUAGGCGGAAUGGACGGUGUAGCGGUGAAAUGCUUAGAUAUCGUCCAGAACACCGAUAGCGAAGGCAGCUUACUAAAGAGUAACUGACGCUGAGGCACGAAAGUGUGGGGAUCAAACAGG
rnacentral:rRNA from 1 species